CCUACGGGGGGCAGCAGUGGGGAAUAUUGCGCAAUGGGCGAAAGCCUGACGCAGCGACGCCGCGUGAGGGAUGAAGGUCUUCGGAUCGUAAACCUCUGUCAGCAGGGAAGAACGGUCACUGUGCUAAUAAGCAGUGAAUUGACGGUACCUGCACAGGAAGCACCGGCUAAAUCCGUGCCAGCAGCCGCGGUACUACGGAGGGUGCGAGCGGUAAUCGGAAUUACUGGGCGUAAAGCGCACGUAGGCGGUAUGUCAAGUCAAGGGUGAAAUCCCCGCGCUCAACGUGGGAAUGGCCUUUGAUACGGGCAAACUGGAGUGUGGUAGAGGAUAGUGGAAUGCCAGGUGUAGGGGUGAAAUGCGUAGAGAUCUGGAGGAACACCGGUGGCGAAGGCGACCAACUGGCACAUAACUGACGCUGAGGAGCGAAAGCGUGGGUAGCAAACAGGAUUAGAUACCCCAGUAGUC
rnacentral:rRNA from 1 species